CGGGAUUGCUGCAUCGAUUUUCCGUUCUCCGGCGGGUACUGAAGCUCCUUCGGAGGGGAAUUUGGAACUUGCGACUGAUGGUUCUGGACUUGUUGAUCGUGCCCUUGUUGUUGACAACAUUAAAGAUGACUUCCAAAGAUCCUACUUUGUUACAGGAAAUCUGACCCUAAAUGCAUAUGAAGAUAAGUGUGAAUUUGCGGAUCCAGCAGGUUCCUUCAAAGGGCUUAGUCGGUUUAAAAGGAACUGUACUAAUUUUGGUUACCUUGUUGAAACAUCAAAUAUGAAACUCAUGAAGUGGGAGGACUUUGAGGACAAGGCGAUUGGUCAUUGGCGUUUUAGUUGCAUACUGUCAUUUCCAUGGAAGCCCAUUCUUUCAGCAACUGGUUAUACAGAAUACUAUUUCAAUGAGAAAUCUGGAAAAGUUUGUAGACAUAUAGAGCAUUGGAAUGUCCCAAAGAUGGCUCUUCUGAAGCAAAUAAUAAGGCCUAGUAGAGGGG
rnacentral:misc_RNA from 1 species